UGAGAUGUCUGUUUGAAUAAUAUUGCAUAAGUGCCAGAAUCGUUCCGUUGAUGAUACAAGCACCAAAUUUGGUAUAAAAAUGAGAAGUCUUUUUCUUCAAAAAAGCCAUUAGCCACAUGAAAUUUUAAUUUUUGGGAAGUAUGAUGUUGAAGUCAUUGUUUCAUCUGUUGAACAGUCCAUUUUGGAAGUUUCCAGUCUUCAUG